rnacentral:rRNA from 1 species
AUUGAACGCUGGCGGCAGGCUUAACACAUGCAAGUCGAGCGGGGAAAGGUAGCUUGCUACCUGACCUAGCGGCGGACGGGUGAGUAAUGCUUAGGAAUCUGCCUAUUAGUGGGGGACAACAUCUCGAAAGGGAUGCUAAUACCGCAUACGUCCUACGGGAGAAAGCAGGGGACCUUCGGGCCUUGCGCUAAUAGAUGAGCCUAAGUCGGAUUAGCUAGUUGGUGGGGUAAAGGCCUACCAAGGCGACGAUCUGUAGCGGGUCUGAGAGGAUGAUCCGCCACACUGGGACGGAGACACGGCCCAGACUCCUACGGGAGGCAGCAGUGGGGAAUAUUGGACAAUGGGGGGAAACCUGAUCCAGCCAUGCCGCGUGUGUGAAGAAGGCCUUUUGGUUGUAAAGCACUUUAAGCGAGGAGGAGGCUACCGAGAUUAAUACUCUUGGAUAGUGGACGUUACUCGCAGAAUAAGCACCGGCUAACUCUGUG